GGUCUUGAUGUUGUAAAUCUUGUAAGGCUUUAUUUGCGGAGAAGCAACAAGAUUAAUAAUAAUGAACAAUGUGAAAUGUAAAUGAGUUUUAUCCCUAUAAAGCUUCAAAGGGUCUUUUUGUCCUUUAGUGUCAG
rnacentral:rRNA from 1 species